UGCAUCGGUCGGGAAUCGAACCCAGGCCGCCCGCGUGGCAGGCGAGUAUUCUACCACUGAACCACCGAUGC
rnacentral:tRNA from 1 species